AAACCUGAGAAGCACAGGGGGAAUGAGACAUACAUUCUCCUCCCGAACCAGCCCAAGCUUUCGAGGCCCCGUGCAGUGAGAGGCGUUAUUUGCACUUUGCUGCCCCCUGGUGGUGAUAUAAAAAUAUAGGCGGAACUCCAGGACCCCGGAAGUUUGUUGACCUCCAAGGUAAAACAUGCCAGUGGGCGUGCGCCUCCAUCAUUGGGGUAUUGGGGUUAAACUAUCAAUGUGCUGACCACGUCUAUCAAGUCCAGAAGUAUGAACGGAACGACUUUCAGGCUCAAAUGGCUAGAUUACGUGAAAGAACUAUUUCAGGUAAGUCAGUACAAUGGGGCAUGCUAUUUCCCCUAUUUUGGAGUGGGUCAUUUCUGCUCAAAUAUUGCUCUUCAUGAGUUCACGAUGACUGUAACGGGGUCAGAGCUCAUAGGGACCUAAGGUAUUUCUCAGUCUCAGAAUUGCAGGAAUGUUUCCUGGGGAGUCCAUGUGUGGACUUCAGGGAACCUCUGUAGAGGUUAAACCCUAAGCAGGGGAAACCCUAUUCCCAAAAUGUAUAGGGAAGUGUCCGAUCCAAACAGCUGGGGAAACUCUGGGCCAGUUGUCCAAGGUGAGUCCACCAUGAAAAGAGAGACUUGUGUUUGAUUAUCACUGUCGUUCUUCUGGCUGGAACAUUCUAUUCCGUUUAUACACACAUAUCCAUCUCUCACUUUACCUGGUAUCAGUAUGGUGGUAAUGAGGUCACCUCUGUCACUGUCUUGUGGCAAGUUUCCUAACCAUUCUGAACCUCUGUUUUCUCAUGUAGUGAAAGAAGAAAAGAAUAUCUAUUAAAUAAAAUUAAUCAACACUUAAGGGUGGGCACAUGUGAAACUAGACUACCAAGCACCCAUUAGAUGCUUAACAAACAAAUGCUUCUAAAAGUAAGCUCAUUAAACAUUAAUAUUUAUAUAGAAUUAUAAAGUAUUCAAGAUUCAUAAAUGAUAUGAAGACUUAUCUUAUGCAUUAUUCCUGGUAUUAUAUUCCCAGUAAGCUGUGAACGAUCCAUCAAAUGGUGAAAAUUUAUGAUUGGAGGACUUCGUCUGUUUUCUUCCAGGUGUAUUUCUAUCAGGGAGUACUUUGAAAGCCAUUACGAGGAAAAUUUUGCUGUGUUUGUGUUUGAAGAUAGCGUGCUGACCCCAUUUCUGUUCACACUUGGUUUUGAUUGAGAAUAAUAGUCUAUUAUAAAGGCUAAUGUUUGGUACGUCAUGUACGCGGCAAAACUGCCUUGGGUCUGCGUCUUGGGGCUUCUCUUUGUAGAAUCAGCUGCUUUCCUCUUUUCUUUUAAAUCUUUAUGGUUCUUGUUUUUACUACUCUAACUGUAAUAUGUGAUUAUUGUAAAUACUAUCGAGACAUUACAGAAACACAGGGCCUAUAAAGAAAACAUUUUCUGCAAUCCCAACCUUCUCUCAAAGGUUUGGCAUAUUGUGUUCAUUUUAUUUAAUGAAUAUACUGGUGUGUGUGUGUGUGUGUGUGUGUGUGUGUGUUGUGUGUUAACAAAAAUGGACCAUACUAACAUGUUGUUCUGCAAUUGAUUUGUAUAACCUUUAUACAUCUUAGAUAAGCUCUACAUCAAUCUGCCUGCUCUCUGUCUCUGUCUUUGUAUCUCUCUCUCUCUAACUCUUGUGUAGUAUUCCACAGCGAGGUAUCCCUGUUGUAACCCCAAGCUUCCCUUCCAGGUCGCCUGCUGCCUUUGAUCCACAUGGUAGAUCAAAGAUCUCAUCUAUGCAAGGUCUUUCCAAGACUGGAGAAAAAGAAGCAGUAGGUGAGAGUGUUCUCGCAAGAGACCCAGAGCAGUGAGCAGUCAUGGGUGGUUGAUGGAGGAGGCUGAGGACCUGGAAACGUUGUGGACAGUGCUCCUUGGCAGGUCGAAUUUCCUUUUUGAACCCAGCUUUCUUGGCUUUGACCCUUAGUUCUCUGGUUUGUUACUGUCCUAGUGAUUGACACAGUAUCUCCUUGUUCUGUUCCACAUGGAGCGACCUCCUUCCUUGAUCCCUACCCCAAAUCGGACCCGUCUCUAGACCCACUUGCAGGUGACAAAAAUGGAUUCCGGAUGAAUGAAGCAGAAGAGCUUAUGGAGGGAAAAUUAAAGAGCUCAAGAACCACCAAGGCUGCUGGCGAAUCAGGCCAUCUCCUAGCAGACUGGGAGACCAGAGGGAAAUGAUGUGGAGUCACUGCUGGCUGAGUGCAAGUUGGGGAGGGGCAGAGAGAGAGGGAGACACAGAAUCUGAAACAGGCUCCAGGCUCUGAGCUGUCAGCACAGAGCCCCACGUGGGGUUCGAACUCACAGACUGCGAGAUCAUGACCUGAGCCAAAGUCAGAUGCCCAACCGACUGAGCCACCCAAGGCGCCCCUCUGUUUAUUCAUUUUUGAGAGAGAGACAGAGUGUGGGCAGGGGAAAGGGCAGAGAGAGAGGGAGACACAGAAUCUGAAGCAGGCUCCAGGCUCUGAACUGUCAGCACCGAUCCCGAUGCGGGGCUUGAACUCACAGACCGGGAGAUCAUGACCUGAGCUGAAGUCAGACGCUUAACCGACUGAGCCACCCAGGUGCCCCUAUGGUCUCAUUUUAAAGCUGUUUUAUUUUUGUCAAAACUGUGCAUGCAUAUAGUUUAAGAAUCAAGUUACUAUUAUGUAUCUAUUUCCAUGUCUCUAAAUAAACCGCUUAUGUUGUCACCUACUGAUCUGUUUCAAUCACCCUCCUCCUCCAAAUCCUGAAUGUAGGGCCUUUCUCAGCCCCUCCCUGACUGUCACCACAGUCCGUAGGACACUAUUACAACCCCUCAUAAUUCUACUUAGAAACUAAUGUCACUAUUCAAUGGGUAUUUUACCAUGGCUGUAAAACUCUAUUGGCAGUUAAGCCAUGGAAUACUCGAUGAUGUUUUGUAAAUAGUAUCUUCUCUUGGAUUUCAUUUUCUGAUUGUUGUCGGUAAUGAGCAACACAAUUGAUUUUGUUAUAUUGGCCAUGAAUCCAGCAAUCUUGAUGUAUUAAUUGUUGAAUUCCACAGCUUAUGUGUAGUUCUCCGGCCUUUCUACAUUCACAAUCGUAUCUUUGAAUGAUGGCAGCUUUUCCCUUCCUUUCUAGUAGUUACUCCUUUUCCUUAAGUGGACAUUAUUGAGGUAUAAUUCUUAUCCUAUAAGGUGAAUGACUUUUAAGUGUGCAGUUCAAUGAACUUUGACAAAUGAGUGGACCCAGGAGAAUAUUACAACAAACAAGAUGUAGAAUCUUUCCCCAAGUCCCUUGCUGGUCAGUAGGAGAUCCAUAUAUUCCCAUAUAUUCUACUCCAGGAAAAUACUGAAGUUACAUUUUUUUCCCUAGAAUUUUCUACUUCUGUCCCCCUUUGUAUUUAUGAUGUUGUUUAUUUAACCUUCUCCUUUUUGUCUGACUAUUCUUUCCAGGGGUUUAUCAGUUGUAUCAGUCUUUUCAAGUAACAAACUUUUGACAUUGUUGAUUCUUUGUGUUGUAUGCUUGUUUCUAUUUGAUUGAUUUCCACUCUUAUCUUUGUUAUUCCCUUCUUUGGAUUUAAUUGACUUUUUUUUUUUUUUUUAAAGAACUUAUUGAGGUUGAUGCUGAGAUCACGGAUUUUUAACCCGUUACCUUUCUCCAAUAGACCACAAAUUACCUUCUAAGUGCAGCCUCUGUCUGUUCUAGAAAUUUUGACAUUUUGUAUUUCGAUUAUCAUUAACUUGAAGGUAUUUAAAAAUUUUAUUUUGGUUUCCCCUUUGAGUUAUGAGUUGUUCAAAAGAUCAUUUUUUAAUUUCCAAAUAUAAGAUUAAUUUCUAAUUAGCUUUUUGUUAUAAUUCUCAGCUAAAUUCUGCGAGGUCAGAAUAUAUUCUGUAUGAUUCCAAUCUGUGAAAAUUUUGUAGAUUUUGCUUUAUUUAAAAUAUUGGUAAAUACUCCACUUGGAAGCAUGUAUACAUUGCAGCUGUUAGAAGCCAUGUUCUGUGUGAGUAAAUUGGGUUGGAUGUGUUCAGCACGAAGUCAAAUCUUUGAUAUUUGUACUGCUUUGGUCUGUUUGUUCUCUCAAUUACUGAGAGACCUGAAUUCAUAUCCACCAUUUUGAUUGUAGAUUUGCAUAUUUUUCUGUAUAGCUCUGUUCAUUAUUGCUACUUUAGUUGUCUCGAGGCCAUAUUAUUAGUUCCAUGUUGCUUAUAAAUACUACA